rnacentral:sRNA from 1 species
UUUUAGCCCCGAUUGAAGUGGAAAUCCUUUUGUAGAUACGGGUUUUAAACCCGUCUCUACAAAAGAUUGCAACGAAAAGCGGGACCCAUC